AUCUGAGCCGACAUAUUUUGUUACAAUUGUAGGUUUCCUGCAUAGACAGAAAAAAACCCAUACCGUGACCAAUAUUACAUACUGCAAUACAGAUAAUGCUGGAGGAGAGUUUGCGUCCUCAGAUUCUUCCGAUGAGUGAGCCAAGAAGUCAUGAAGUUUCUGCACCAAUAUUUUCUCCUCCCAAAGCUUCUACAAUUUCCUGAAACAAGUGCCGCCUUCUAGCUGCAAGCACACUGACUGAGGCCAAGGGCAGUCACCCUUCCAGACCCUCCUGUAUCAAAAGUUACCACUCUCAGCUGUUUGUCACUGCUUCCCUCCCACAUGCUAUCAGUCCUCUAAAAUCUGCCAGCUGAUAUGUCCGAGUCGUCAUACCUUAUCUGCUACUAGAUACCGGGUUUCAAACUGCUGAACUACACUACCCCCUUCAUAAGUUAACCCAGUUAAAGCAUACAGGCUUCCAUCCUUUUUACUUUUUAUCUCCUCAUUACUUUCAAAAUAGUCUUCUGAUAGCAAGAAGAAAUAAAAUUUUCUGUCCCUGUUUUGCAGGUUGUAGGAACUUUUGAAUAUUUAUCAGAAGCUCUAUCCACUCACCUUUACCACCUCUACUAUUUCUCUGAACACGUCAGUUUAUUAACUUCUGACUUUCAAUUUAACUGUUAUUGCUAAAAAAAAAAAAAAAUCACCUGUUUUAAAGAAGGACAUGCAGGUGAGUGCUCUCUUGAGCAAUGAGUGAAAGGGUAUCAUCACAUUAAUGCAAAUGACUAUUUAAACCAGUGAAAAUAACCACAUAUAAAACAACAUAAAACAUCAAUUUUAAAAAAAUAAUCUGUCAUUUAUUUAAAUCUUCUGAAGUACUCAAGAUAAAACAAAACAGCACUUUGCAAUGGAAAGAUUUUCUGCAUGAGUAAAGGACACUUUUCUUUUGAGACUACAUGCAUACCAUCAAUCACUUGAGCAACUUUGAAAGACAGUGUAACAAAGCCUGUUUUACUCUCAAAUGUAUCUUAAAAUUUUUCUCUCAAUCUGUCUAAAAGUCUUUCCCUCUAAUUACUGGACUCAUGCUGCUACACAACUGCCCGUCCCUAAACUUGGGCUUCCCUUUUUGUCACGGAUGGAGGGCAUAUUUGGAAUACAUUACAGAAGACGAUAAUGGUACACUUUAGUUUUAACAGAUUGCAUGCUCCACUUUAGAAAGGAGAUUUAAUGACAAUUUAUUCACAUUAAGUUUAAAAAAAAAUUAGACUUGUUCAGAAUUAUUUGAUAGUAAUAGUACAUAAAGAGAUUUUAUAUCAAUUCCAGAUGGUCUGAAGAACUAUUGCGGCCCUUCUAAAUGUGCUUAAAAGUACAUUUUUGGUAGUAAAAAUGAAAACAAAAAACCCACAUGUGGAAUUCUGCUCAUUUAGUUUAUAACUAACUUGUUUUGGUAAACAGCAUUUGUAGAAAAAAAAAGUGGGAACUACAGAUGAGUUAUAUUAUUAUUGUUCUCAAUACAAAACAAGUUCAGAAUAGUAUGUGUGUGUCUUUGUGACUAACACUUGGAACAUUAUCUACUACCAUUUAUUAACUCUUAUCCUAACUAGCCUAAACUUAUCAUUUUCAGAGCAAAAUAUUCAUGCUGACAACCAACCACCAAAAAAAAAAAAAUUAUCUACAAACUAAUACUAAAAAGUCUUCUCAACUUGCUUUUCCUCUUGAUUAUUUAGCAUUUUGUACCAUAAGCCUGUAUUGAGGAAUACCAGGUCAAAUGUAAGUAAAGGUGUUACACUUACUAUACUUCACCACAAAGAAAUUUUAAUUUAGGGCAAUGCUUUACCUGAUAUUGUACAAAAGCGAUUUUAUGUCAUGCAUUUAUAGUUGAGAAAAUAUUAUCUAUAAUCUUUUUUAAAGCUUCUACUGCAAAAUCCGUGUUCUUUGUAAUAUACUAAUAGACUCAUCCACUAUUAAAUUGAUCUCAAC